rnacentral:rRNA from 1 species
GAUCCUGGCUCAGGACGAACGCUGGCGGCGUGCCUAACACAUGCAAGUCGAACGGAGAUAAAGAUUUCGGUUUUUAUCUUAGUGGCGCACGGGUGAGUAACACGUGAAUAACCUGACCCAAAGAGGGGGGAUAACACCUGGAAACAGGUGCUAAUACCGCAUAAGACCACAAUGUCGCAUGACGAAGGGGUCAAAGAAAAUCGCUUUGGGAGGGGUUCGCGUCCCAUUAGGUAGUAGGCGGGGUAACGGCCCACCUAGCCGACGAUGGGUAG